AUACAGCUGACGAGUCCCAAAUAGGACGAAACGCGCAUCCUGGAU
rfam:Schistosoma rodhaini strain Burundi genome assembly, scaffold: SROB_scaffold0000454